UACAGAGGGGGCAAGCGUUGUUCGGAAUUACUGGGCGUAAAGGGCGCGUAGGCGGCCUGCUAAGUCGAACGUGAAAUCCCUGGGCUCAACCCAGGAACUGCGUCCGAUACUGGUGGGCUUGAAUCCGGGAGAGGGAUGCGGAAUUCCAGGUGUAGCGGUGAAAUGCGUAGAUAUCUGGAGGAACACCGGUGGCGAAGGCGGCAUCCUGGACCGGCAUUGACGCUGAGGCGCGAAAGCUAGGGGAGCAAAGCGGG
rnacentral:rRNA from 1 species